UUACCCGCUGUGAACUUAAGCAUAUCAAUAAGCGGAGGAAAAGAAACCAACAGGGAUUACCUCAGUAACGGCGAGUGAAGCGGUAAUAGCUCAAAUUUGAAAUCUGGCUUCGGUCCGAGUUGUAAUUUGUAGAAGAUGCUUCGGGUGUGGCUCCGGUCUAAGUUCCUUGGAACAGGACGUCAUAGAGGGUGAGAAUCCCGUAUGUGACUGGGUGCCUUCGCCUAUGUGAAGCUCUUUCGACGAGUCGAGUUGUUUGGGAAUGCAGCUCAAAAUGGGUGGUAUAUUUCAUCUAAAGCUAAAUAUUGGCCAGAGACCGAUAGCGCACAAGUAGAGUGAUCGAAAGAUGAAAAGCACUUUGGAAAGAGAGUUAAACAGUACGUGAAAUUGUUGAAAGGGAAGCGUUUGCAAUCAGACUUGCACGUUGCCGAUCAUCUGGUGUUCUCACCAGUGCACUCGGUUUCGUUCAGGCCAGCAUCGGUUUGGGUGGUUGGAUAAAGGCCUUGGGAAUGUGGCUCCUCUCGGGGAGUGUUAUAGCCCUCGGUGCAAUGCAGCCUACCUGGACCGAGGACCGCGCUUCGGCUAGGAUGCUGGCGUAAUGAUUGUAAACGACCCGUCUUGAAACACGGACCAAGGAGUCUAACAUCUAUGCGAGUAUUUGGGUGUUAAACCCAUAUGCGUAAUUAACGUGAACGGAGGUAAGAGCCCUUAAGGGUGCAUUAUCGACCGGUCCUGAUGUCUUCGGAAGGAUCUGAGUAAGAGCAUAGCUGUUGGGACCCGAAAGAUGGUGAACUAUGCCUGAAUAGGGUGAAGCCAGAGGAAACUCUGGUGGAGGCUCGCAGCGGUUCUGACGUGCAAAUCGAUCGUCAAAUUUGGGUAUAGGGGCGAAAGACUAAUCGAACCAUCUAGUAGCUGGUUCCUGCCGAAGUCCCCCUCAGGAUAGCA
rnacentral:rRNA from 1 species